rnacentral:rRNA from 1 species
GGACCCGCACAAGUAGUGGAGCAUGUGGUUUAAUUCGAAGAUACGCGCAGAACCUUACCAACACUUGACAUGUUCGUCGCGACUCUAAGAGAUUAGAGUUUUCGGUUCGGCCGGACGAAACACAGGUGCUGCAUGGCUGUCGUCAGCUCGUGUCGUGAGAUGUUGGGUUAAGUCCCGCAACGAGCGCAACCCUCACUUUUAGUUGCCAUCAUUAAGUUGGGCACUCUGAAAGAACUGCCAGUGAUAAGCUGGAGGAAGGUGGGGAUGACGUCAAGUCCUCAUGGCCCUUACGUGUUGGGCUACACACGUGCUACAAUGGUAUCUACAACAGGAAGCAAGACUGCGAAGUUAAGCAAAUCCCUAAAAGAUACCUCAGUUCAGAUCGUAGGCUGCAACUCGCCUACGUGAAGGCGGAAUCGCUAGUAAUCG